CAAUGAAAAGAAACUGAAAACACAGAUUAUGGAAGACAAAAUGAAGACAUUGAUGGAAGAAAUACAUUCUCUGAAUAAUUCUAUCAGGGACUUGAAAGAUAAAUUGAGUAUUGGAGAUGUCCAGUUUCUUAAGAGCUUCAAGGACAUUUUGGAGAGAGCCCAGAACAUGAACCAGAACCCAAACGGUUCAAGGAGGUCUUAUUGAUACUGCACAGUACCUGGGAAAUUUGA